UGGAUAGCUCAGUCAGUAGAGCAUGAGACUCUUAAUCCCAUGGUCAUGGGUUUGGGCCCACCGUUGGAUGAA
rnacentral:tRNA from 1 species